UACAGAGGGUGCGAGCGUUAAUCGGAAUUACUGGGCGUAAAGCGCGCGUAGGCGGCUUUGCAAGUCGGGUGUGAAAUCCCCAGGCUUAACCUGGGAACUGCAUUCGAGACUGCAUUGCUAGAGUAUGGGAGAGGGAAGUGGAAUUUCCGGUGUAGCGGUGAAAUGCGUAGAUAUCGGAAGGAACAUCAGUGGCGAAGGCAGCCCCCUGGGUCAAGACUGACGCUCAUGCACGAAAGCGUGGGGAGCAAACAGG
rnacentral:rRNA from 1 species